GUAACAUCAUGCCACCGAUUGCGUCCAUGCCAAACGUCUUGGGAGACCAAAAAUUUAAAUCUGAUGAUUAGUUUUUCCAAACCGUUUUCCUUCCCAAACAAAGGAGGCCAAGAGAGCUGUAGAGAUUGGCCUACGGUGUGAGGAUGGGAUUUGCCUCAACCUGAUCGCCCAAAACAUCUGGAGAGACCUCAAAUUCCCAAAUUUCCAUCCAACUUGGAAUUGGAGCUUUCCACCGGCCAGAUUUUGAACCUUCAAGCAACUUAAGGAAAAGGAACUCUGGCAGAAGGCUUCAGCGUGACCUUUUAAAAAAUAUAACUGAUAUGCCUUAA